UGCCAGAGGCCAGUAUUACCCUCUGGCACUUCUGUCGCAAGUCGCA
rnacentral:sRNA from 12 species